UGUCCUCUGCUGCUUCCCCAGGCGCAGGAGCAGGGAGUUGGAUCAGAAGUGGAGCAGCUGGGACUCAACCUGGCGCCUGUAUGGGCUGCUGAAGCUGCUGGUGGCAAGCCCACUACACCACGGUGCUGACCCGAGAGCCUGUUUAACCCUUUGAACUCCAGAACAUUCACACUGCCAACAGCAGCAGCAGAGUGAGAGCUCGGGUCCUGCUAUGUGGACCGUGGGAGUUUACUUUGGAGCUCAGAUUAUGUUGUCUGCCUUGGCUGCUGUUGCUAUGGAGAAGUGGUGAGCUCCCAUUCAUGGGACACACCCAAGUGCCUGCCGUGACUGGGCGCCAGGCUGAAGCCAGGAGCUGGGGUCGCCGUGCCCGGCAGCUGCCUGUGACGUCAAGAACCCAGCUCCUUGAGCUGGCUGCCUGCUGCGCACAAGAGCCAUACUGGCAGGAAGCUGCAGCCAGGAGCCCGGGGAGGGGGUCAGCCCUGGACCUCCUGCUGGUGGGUGUGGGGUCUCCUCCUGCUCCAUGUGAAGUGCCCUGCCCAACGCCACCCUGGCUUUUUCUCUAGCCACUGUCCAGCCCAGGCCACUGGGGCACCUUCAGUGGAGUCCUCUGUCCCUUCUCACAUCCCCAUCCUGGGGGUUGUCCUGUGGAAAGCCUGGCUGGCUGUCCACAGCCCUGUCUGAGGGUCCUCCUGGCCUGGCCAUUUCGGCUGUUGCCAUGGCCACAGCUCUGUGCAACUAACCAACCUCCCCGCUGGCAUGCUGGCGGGAGCUGGCUGUGCCUGACCUCCCCGCUGGCAUGCUGGCGGGAGCUGGCUGUGCUUGGCAUGCGAACAAGGACUUCCAUUUCCUGGGCUGGCCUGGGCAAGUCACGUAUCUUCUUGCGGGCAGCCAACUCCUGGAGCAGCCCGGACCCGUCUCUGUCCUCUGUGCCCAGGGCCUGCCCUGCUCCCUGGACUCACCCCCCACCCCCUGUCCCCAUGACUGCUCCCUCCCCAUGUCAGCUUCUCCCGCAGCCAGGCAGGCACCAUAGCAGAUACACGCCGCUCUACCAGACUCUUCUGCGCCUGUGAGAGGUGAGACUGACAACAACCUGGGGUUAGGUUAAAGACCAACUUUUAUUUUUUGGUUGUUACAUGGAUUACAGUCACAGGAUCUGGUUGGGGGUGGUGGGUACAGCUCAGCAGACAGGGUAGAGCCCACCGAGGGGGAGCACCACUUGGAAUCCAGGAGGGUGACCGGGCGGCCUCUGUCCCUGUGUGAGUUCUGCCAACCCAGGGGUCACAAGGACACAAUGCAUGUGUGUGUGAGACGGGCGUCUACCAGUGCGCAUGACCGGGCCCUGCCGAGGAACAGGACCGCAGACAGGGCUGCCACCUGCCUGUACCCCACCAUGGAGUGCCAGGGUGCGAGCUGCCUGCGGAAAGCAUGCGGCUGUGGGGCGGGGACAGUGUGUGGCUCGCUGUGGCUGGCACGGUGCUGCAGGGAGGCCCAGUGCCAUCGCGGCUCCGGGGUGGCUGUGCUGCUGCCGUUUCUGUGGUAGCACUUCUUAAGGCAGUAACAAUCAACGCCUCCUUGGGUUGGCACGUGAGGUAAUGAGU